AACGAACGCUGGCGGCAGGCUUAACACAUGCAAGUCGAACGCAUCCUUCGGGGUGAGUGGCAGACGGGUGAGUAACGCGUGGGAACGUGCCCUUCAGUUCGGGAUAACCCAGGGAAACUUGGGCUAAUACCGGAUACGUGCGAGAGCAGAAAGAUUUAUCGCUGAAGGAUCGGCCCGGGUCUGAUUAGCUAGUUGGUGGGGUAAUGGCCCACCAAGGCGACGAUCAGUAGCAGGUCUGAGAGGAUGAUCAGCCACAUUGGGACUGAGACACGGCCCAAACUCCUACGGGAGGCAGCAGUGGGGAAUAUUGGACAAUGGGCGCAAGCCUGAUCCAGCCAUGCCGCGUGAGUGAUGAAGGCCUUAGGGUUGUAAAGCUCUUUCGUCCGGGACGAUAAUGACGGUACCGGAAGAAGAAGCCCCGGCUAACUUCGUGCCAGCAGCCGCAGUAA
rnacentral:rRNA from 1 species